rnacentral:rRNA from 1 species
UACGUAGGGUGCAAGCGUUAAUCGGAAUUACUGGGCGUAAAGCGUGCGCAGGCGGUUGGGCAAGACAGAUGUGAAAUCCCCGGGCUUAACCUGGGAAUGGCAUUUGUGACUGCCCGGCUAGAGUGUGUCAGAGGGGGGUAGAAUUCCACGUGUAGCAGUGAAAUGCGUAGAGAUGUGGAGGAAUACCGAUGGCGAAGGCAGCCCCCCUGGGAUAACACUGACGCUCAUGCACGAAAGCGUGGGGAGCAAACAGG